UGGGGUGGCCUGUCCGGGGUGGCCUAUCCGGAAAGCCCAGGGGGUGGCCCAUCUGGGGUGGCCUAUCUGGUGUGGCCCGUCCGGGUGGUCCGUCCGGGGAGGCCCGUGGUGCAGCCACAGCACACAGCGCGCCCAGGGCGGCCCCUCACAGCAGACGCCGUGGUGCUGGGGGAAAGGCCACGGGUGAGAUCACUGCAGGGAGGUGAACGGUGACACAGAGAUGCUGAGAUGCUGACUGAGGUUUCCUCUGGGGGCGGGAUGGGGUCUUCCUCUCCCUACCUUUGCUGGCUGGCAAGCUCUCUCCAGCGGGCACGUGGCGGCUUGGUAGGCCUGCGGCCUCGUCCUGUGUCUGUCACAGACGGUUCUUCGUGUACCCUCCCGCUAUUCCAUAAGCAGACGAAAAGGUAAAAUAAGAGACUUAAAAGGUGAUGCUGGUGCUUUUGAUCCCUAAUCAAAGGCAUGUCUCUUGGCUUCACUGUCCCCAGCCGGUGACAUGUUCCCAGAAUUUCAAGCUUCCCCAGGAGCGGGUGCAGGUGGGGACACGGGCCAGGCGGGAGUGGGGAUGCUUUGGAGAGCACCAGGAGUCGGGUCCCGUGUCCCCCGGCUGCUGGGAGCUGCCCACUCAGCCCCAAACCAGACCUCCCCCUAAGGCUGGGGACAUCCCCCACUUCACUGGCCCUGGAUGCUCAUGUGGCCUCAGGCCACUGUUUACUUCUCUGAACCUUACAGGGGAGACCCCAUGAUGGAGCCCUGUCCCUGAGCCUGGGUGCUGAGGAGCGCUGACCUGUGACCCUGGUGGCUAAGCGUCCUGGAGUAGGAGGGGCCAGCCUGCACGCAGCCCCCACAACAAGCCCGGAUGCAGAUGCCGUUAUCCCAUUUUACGGACGAGGAAACUGAGGCCCAGAGGUGGUACAGCCGGUGGGUGGAGGGGAGGGCUUGAGACCCUAGAGGCCCCCAGAGUGUUCUCACGUGGUGGCUGUGAGCGGGUGGGGGUCCCCAGCUCCACACUGGUGCGGGCCGUGCUCACAGGACGGGAAUCGGGGCCACCAUCAGAGCCCAGACUUCGGACCAGCCCGGGGGGAGUCAGGGUGGCCAGAGUCGCUGUGCCGGGUGGGGCCGGGGGCUGCACUGGUAGCUCCCGGGGAGGAGACGACAGGGUGGCUGACGUGCCCCGGAAGGACCGAGGGCCAGGGAGGGCCAUGGGUGUCAGCAGGGGGAGCCGUCUGACAGUGGCCAGGCUGCGGUGUGCCCAACGUCCCCCGAGGCGCUUGGCCUUGACUCGGGGCCCGUGGGAACCUGGGGCGGGUCCGGAGGCCAGAGACCUGAGACGGACCGUCGUGGGGGGAGCCGGAAGCUGCAGCCUGGUCACCGUGGGCUCUGGGCCAGGCUCCACACGUGGCGGUCCGUCUGGCUCCACGGGUCGGAGGGAGGCUGUGGGGCGCUGUACUCGGGGUCUUGGCCGGGAAGCUGUCCUUCUAACGUGGAGCCACUUCCCAUCCACCACCGCCUGGCAGCGAGGGGACACGAGACUGCUGCCUCACCCCGCGGCCGUGUUCGCCGUCACAGACACUUAGGACACAGGAAAGAUUCAGAAGAGAAGAGGGGAGGAGAAAGAUGGAAACGAGGGGGGAUGGGGACAGAGAGACAGAGAGAGACAGGGAGAGACAGAUGACAGAGACAGAGAAGGAGAGACAGGGAGAGAGAAAGAUGAAGAGAGACAGAGGGAGGGGGGGAAAGGGGGGCGGCUGAGACACCCCUGUUCCCCCUCACCGUGUGAGUCGUUGCCCUUUGACGCCUCCGCGCACCUGCUCUGAGCCUCCAGAGAGCGGGCAUGGGGUGACCGGCCUGUGGGGGGGGGGGGUGUUGUGUAACAGGGUUCUGGCCCCAGCGACACGGGGAGCUCCUGCAGGCGGUCCUGUGUCAGGUUUCCUUGACCCGGGGCUCACCUCUCCCCUGUGGCCACUGGCCCGGGUGCCCGGCUCCCCCACUGGGGCGCAGCUCCCCCUUCGGCACCGUGCACAAUGCCACCGAGGCCAGCGAGGCAGAGUCACCGGCCUCAGCGGGGCCAGGUGGGGUCUUCGAGGCCACCCCGGGCGAGGGACAGGAAGCCACCAACACGAGGUCUGCUUGCACUGCCUGCCCUCGCCCUGGGUGUCUAAAACACGUCCACGGACGACCUCAGAAGCUCCUUCUCCUUAAAAGCUUCCAGUCAUGUUUGAAAAUGGCAGUGUUUAUUUCUCUGCCAUUCUUACGCUUUCCAGAAAUUGUUUAAAACACAUGUUCUGAUAGAAUGGUUGUGGAUGACCUUUGCCUUCCUUCCCUCUACACUGGGCUCCUGGCCCAGCCCAGCCAGGGGUGGAGGGGGCACCUGACUCCUGGCAGACGGGCCCCAGGGGCAGCACGAGCCCGUGGUCACACAGACGACAGGCAGGGAGAUGCUCGCCCUCGCCCUGCAACGUCAGGGAAGUAGUGAAGGCAGCAUCACAAGUGCUGGGCCUGCAACCGUGUCCUCCCCCGCUGGCCUGCAGCCUGACGGCGGCCAGAGAACUAACUCAUGGCACAAACCAGAUUCUCAGAUCCCAUCACUAGAUCAGACCUGGGCAGCUGCUCUCUCCUUCACAGACUUGAUUCUUCUGGAAAGUGGCUUGGGAUACUCUUGGCCUUCUCCACAGGGUUCCUGCCUCAUGGUCAAAGCGCAGCUGCCACAGCUCCAGGCAUCACGUCUGUGUGCAGGCCAGGAAAAACAGGGAGGAGCCACUAGCCAUAGGUACUCCCAUUUUUCCUGAAAGCAAAAGCCCUGAAUGUCCCCAGCAGACGGCUUGCUAGCCCCCAGGGCCACUCGUCACUUCGAGAGACGCUGGGAAAUGCGGUACAGAAUCUACGCAGUCUUGACCCAUCGCCUGGGCUGAGUAUGUUGUCCCUGGAGCAGACACUUCCACUGCAUAUCCAUGCUUUCUCUCCUGACUUUUAGUAACAGAACCCCCUCCAUUUUACCUGGAUUGCCCCCAAUAAAGACCCAUCUCCCCAUUUCCUUUGCGGUGUAAACAUUAGUAGCAGGAAACGGCACAAGCUGGAGUCAGGAGGCCCCACCAGUGGGGGUCGGUCGCGACCUCGCGGCCGCCAGCAGCUCCGCCAAUGAGAAGCCACCACACUCCCGGUGUCCUCCAAUGGACGUUGAGUUCAUAACGACCUUCCCAAGCCACCGCUUCUCUCCUUAAAAAAGCGCACCUGUCCCUCGUUGCCCAGACUCGCCUACGGUUUUGCCGCCGCGUGUCGUCCUGGGUUCAAUUCUCUUUUGUUUCCGAAUCAGCCCUUGUUUGGCUGGUAAAGUAACGGGCGGUUUUACUUGCAAGGUUGACAAUGGCAGGCGUGCCCACGUGACCCCCCCCCCCCCCCCCCCCCGGGCUAGAUGGGAGCUGGCGGAGCCUCCGCGAGGCCUGGACGCAGGCCCGUCCGCCCGUCUGCCCUGCAGCAGAGGGGACGCCACCCCAAGGCCAUCCCCGACCUGCCCAAGGACUUCAGCAUCUCCUCUGGCAAGACGGAUGUUCCCUUCCAGAUAAUUGUAUCCGGUGUUUGGCCCGGUCCUCCUCAGUAGCAUGUGGCCUCACUGACAUAAUCUGAAAAACCAGACUGGACUUUGCAGGGAGACAACUCGAGAUUCCUGGUCACAUUUCGCAGGUUCAAAAGAGCAAAGUGGCUCCCCACUGUUCUGACAACUUUAGAGCCGUGGUUUCCAAUUCGGCCAUGAGAAAGUCUGCUGGGACGUACGUUCCCCACAACAGACAUUGAAGUUCUAAAAUCUUUUGGUUAGGUUUUCCUCCCGAGGGAAGAGAAAAGUCCCUAAAGAGCACCGUUUCCACAGGAACAGCCUGUUCCAAAAAAAAUCCCGCCCAAAGCCAGCACAUUUCCAGUUAGGAACAGGUUGUCUCCAAAAAGGAGUCGACCAGAAAGAAGACUUAAAACAGAUCCCGACUAGGCCCCGGGGAGCUCAGAGGGCAGGAAUGCCGGAGACACCACCCUCAAACCCCAGGGGGGUCAGCCGGCCCCGCGGGCACCGCACCUGCUGCCUCUCCGGCCUUGGGCGGUUGAGCGCCUUCUCCGGAUCCCGCUUCUCUGGCACCAGGGGGUGUUGGCCUUUUGCCACAGGUAUUUUACCGCGGAAAUGGAUUUAUUUGGGAGGAACGGAGGACUGCAACCUGGGAUUGCAAGCCACCGCAGAAACCGUGUGGUCGGCGUGGGUGCGUAGUUUUCCAAGUCCACGCCUUGUCCGUUGUUUUCUUGACGGGGCCUUUGAUGAGCAGGCGGUUUCACAAAAGUGCAACGUAACCGCUUUUAUGAUCAUCGCUUUUGGCAUCUCGUCCAGGGGGCCUCUUCCCGAGGUCGCUGAGGUCGGCUCACCGUCUCCCGGCUCCGGACACCCUUCGGUACCUGCUGUGGGCAUGUUUCUCCUUCGGGAAGAGCCAGGUGUCAGGUUCCCCACACGAGGCCUCGGUGUGCGUCCCGAUGCACCAGCUCGCCCAGCGCCUGGCUGCCAGGCACGGCGCCCGCCCGGGGGGCAGCCGCACACCAGCCUGGCGCUGGCGAAACAGCAGACUUCCUGCGGUCCACCACCCCCGGGGAGACCCCCCGCCUCCAGGCUGGCCCUCCCUACGCCCUGGGGUUUCCUGCGGCCUCUUACGUCCUCUCCGUGAUUUCUCAGUUGUGGUACGGGUGCCCCCUAAUGUCCCAGGCAGGACGCUGACUGACGCAGUCGCAGAGGUACUCUUCCAGAAGGUCUGUGACCAACUGCAACACGAUGUAUGGCUCAUCCCUAUCUGCAUCUGUGGCUGUGUCUGUAUCUAAUCCAGCUGUGGACACCUACCUAUUUCCUAAAAACAUGGUAACCGUCGGGGUGCCUGGGCGGCUCAGGCGGUUAAGCCUGGGACUCCAGCUCAGGUCAUGAGCUUGUGGUCCGUGAGUUCGAGCCCGGUGUUGGGC